GGACAGCUCAUUUCCCUGCCUGCUCCCGCGGCUGCUUCCUUUGCUGCCCCGAGAGUGGUUUCCGGCAGCUCUGUUCUCUCAGCGCUGGGACGAGCUUUGUGACUCUGCCUCACUCAGCAAACACUCACCUUGGGCUCGGCAUGCACCUCGCCUAUCUCAUCCUCACCGUCUUCCUGGGACAGCUCCUGGGCACCACGGGGCAAAACACGAUCACCCAGGAAGAUGGAGCAGUCACAGUGAAGCAGGGACACCCCUUCCACACCACCUGCAAAUACCAGACCAAUAACUUUUAUUCCCUGCUCUGGUACCAGCUACGGCAAGGCCAAGGCCCACAGCUGAUCUCCUAUCAAGCAGGGCCUGGCCCCAAGCACAGCGGCCGUUUCACCACGCACCUCAACACCACGGGGAAAUACAGUGUCCUGCAGGUGCAGCAAGUGGAGCUCUCUGACACUGCCUUGUACCUCUGUGCUGUGCAAGACACCCUGGUGCAGGGAGCUUCCUGGGCUGUACAACAACCCAGGGGAGGGAGGGGAUGUGUCAGUGCGAGGCUGAGGUUGGGGAAGGGACUCUGGGCUCACCAUCGUGCUCACCCGAAGUUCCAUGCCCAUAUGCGUUCACUGCUUUGAUAGCUUUGACGCCAUCCACCCCAGUAGUUCCACUGGGAAAUUAUUUUCGACUAUUUUGACUCAUUUCUGCCUUGUG